GUGCCGGCCGACACUGCG
rnacentral:misc_RNA from 1 species